UGCAGCGACGCCGCGUGAGGGAUGACGGCCUUCGGGUUGUAAACCUCUUUCAGCAGGGACGAAGCGCAAGUGACGGUACCUGCAGAAGAAGCACCGGCUAACUACGUGCCAGCAGCCGCGGUAAUACGUAGGGUGCAAGCGUUGUCCGGAAUUACUGGGCGUAAAGAGUUCGUAGGCGGUUUGUCGCGUCGUUUGUGAAAACCAGCAGCUCAACUGCUGGCUUGCAGGCGAUACGGGCAGACUUGAGUACUGCAGGGGAGACUGGAAUUCCUGGUGUAGCGGUGAAAUGCGCAGAUAUCAGGAGGAACACCGGUGGCGAAGGCGGGUCUCUGGGCAGUAACUGACGCUGAGGAACGAAAGCGUGGGUAGCGAACAGGAUUAGAUACCCUGGUAGUCCACGCCGUAAACGGUGGGCGCUAGGUGUGGGUUCCUUCCACGGAAUCCGUGCCGUAGCUAACGCAUAAGCGCCCCGCCUGG
rnacentral:rRNA from 1 species